CAGAGAGACAUGAACCAGAGUUCUUUACUUGCUUUUUUGAUUGGGAUGUUUCAAAAUCACAGAUGGAUGGAAAUUCAUUUGAGAGAAAGCUUGCACUACUAAAGGGAGAAAAGAAGUUGGAGGCAAGUGUCCUGAAACCUUCCGGCAUUAUCAAUUACACAUCUUUCAGACUGAUUAUCCCUAAAGAGUCUGGUUAUAGUCAUGCAUAAGUUAUUCAUUUUAGUUAUUAUUUUGAAGCCCAAGAACAGUUAGUUUAUGCCUCUAAAAUGUAUCCUUUGUCUAGACACCUCUGAGGACCUCAAGCGGGAUAUAUGCUUCUGAAUAUUACUGAAGUGGUUCAAGCAGCAAAUCUGGAUAUUCUAAGGUGGGGAAAGAACAUUGCUUCAUCUAAAACACGAACUACAAAACGUGCUGGUGUAGCAGUUUAUUACAGAUCUUCAUCUUUGGAAACACUGGGAGUCGAUUGGAAGAAAGUCAGCACGACCUUAAUUAAGGUUUGUAAUGCAUGAUCUAAAGGGAGCUAAGUGGCCGGAUUAGAGAAAUUUGUUAGACUAGCUCUCUAGCCUUUUGUCUUUAUUUGUUAAUAUUAGUUUUAAUUUGUUAGACUAGCUAG